rnacentral:rRNA from 1 species
CGGACGGGUGAGUAACCGCGGUACGGAAAACCUCGCCGUAUACUGGGGGAUAACACUUAGAAAUAGGUGCUAAUACCGCAUAAGCGCACAGCUUCGCAUGAAGCGGUGUGAAAAACUCUGGUGGUAUACGAUGGUUCCGCGUCUGAUUAGCUAGUUGGUGGGGUAGUGGCCUACCAAGGCAACGAUCAGUAGCCGGCCUGAGAGGGUGAACGGCCACAUUGGGACUGAGACACGGCCCAAACUCCUACGGGAGGCAGCAG